rnacentral:rRNA from 1 species
UACAGAGGUCUCAAGCGUUGUUCGGAUUCAUUGGGCGUAAAGGGUGUGUAGGUGGCGCUGUAAGUCGGGUGUGAAAUUUCGGAGCUUAACUCCGAAACUGCAUUCGAUACUGCGGUGCUUGAGGACUGGAGAGGAGACUGGAAUUCAUGGUGUAGCAGUGAAAUGCGUAGAUAUCGUAAGGAAGACCAGUGGCGAAGGCGAGUCUCUGGACAGUAACUGACGCUGAGGCACGAAGGCCAGGGGAGCAAACGGG